AGUGAACGCUGGCGGUAGGCCUAACACAUGCAAGUCGAACGGCAGCACAGUAAGAGCUUGCUCUUACGGGUGGCGAGUGGCGGACGGGUGAGGAAUACAUCGGAAUCUACUUUUUCGUGGGGGAUAACGUAGGGAAACUUACGCUAAUACCGCAUACGACCUACGGGUGAAAGCAGGGGAUCUUCGGACCUUGCGCGAUUGAAUGAGCCGAUGUCGGAUUAGCUAGUUGGCGGGGUAAAGGCCCACCAAGGCGACGAUCCGUAGCUGGUCUGAGAGGAUGAUCAGCCACACUGGAACUGAGACACGGUCCAGACUCCUACGGGAGGCAGCAGUGGGGAAUAUUGGACAAAGGGCGCAAGCCUGAUCCAGCCAUACCGCAUGGGUGAAGAAGGCCUUCGGGUUGUAAAGCCCUUUUGUUGGGAAAGAAAAGCAGCAGGUUAAUACCCCGCUGUUCUGACGGUACCCAAAGAAUAAGCACCGGCUAACUUCGUG
rnacentral:rRNA from 1 species